rnacentral:rRNA from 1 species
AGUGAACGCUGGCGGUAGGCCUAACACAUGCAAGUCGAACGGCAGCACAGGAGAGCUUGCUCUCUGGGUGGCGAGUGGCGGACGGGUGAGGAAUACAUCGGAAUCUACUCUGUCGUGGGGGAUAACGUAGGGAAACUUACGCUAAUACCGCAUACGACCUACGGGUGAAAGCAGGGGACCUUCGGUCCUUGCGCGAUUGAAUGAGCCGAUGUCGGAUUAGCUAGUUGGCGGGGUAAAGGCCACAAAGGCGACGAUCCGUAGCUGGUCUGAGAGGAUGAUCAGCCACACUGGAACUGAGACACGGUCCAGACUCCUACGGGAGGCAGCAGUGGGGAAUAUUGGACAAUGGGCGCAAGCCUGAUCCAGCCAUACCGCGUGGGUGAAGAAGGCCUUCGGGUUGUAAAGCCCUUUUGUUGGGAAAGAAAUCCAGCUGGCUAAUACCCGGUUGGGAUGACGGUACCCAAAGAAUAAGCACCGGCUAACUUCGUGCCAGCCGCCGCCGUAA